GACGAACGCUGGCGGCGUGCUUAACACAUGCAAGUCGAACGAAGAGCGACGGAAGCUUGCUUCUCUCAAUCUUAGUGGCGAACGGGUGAGUAACGCGUAAUCAACCUGCCCUUCAGAGGGGGACAACAGUUGGAAACGACUGCUAAUACCGCAUACGAUCUAACCUCGGCAUCGAGGAUAGAUGAAAGGUGGCCUCUACAUGUAAGCUAUCACUGAAGGAGGGGAUUGCGUCUGAUUAGCUAGUUGGAGGGGUAACGGCCCACCAAGGCGAUGAUCAGUAGCCGGUCUGAGAGGAUGAACGGCCACAUUGGGACUGAGACACGGCCCAGACUCCUACGGGAGGCAGCAGUGGGGAAUCUUCCGCAAUGGACGAAAGUCUGACGGAGCAACGCCGCGUGAGGGAUGACGGCCUUCGGGUUGUAAAGCUCUGUUAAUCGGGACGAAAGGCCUUCUUGCGAAUAGGGAGAAGGAUUGACGGUACCGGAAUAGAAAGCCACGGCUAACUACGUG
rnacentral:rRNA from 1 species